UACGUAGGGUGCAAGCGUUGUCCGGAAUUAUUGGGCGUAAAGAGCUCGUAGGCGGUCUGUCGCGUCUGCUGUGAAAACUCAGGGCUUAACCCUGAGCUUGCAGUGGGUACGGGCAGACUAGAGUGCGGUAGGGGGAGACUGGAAUUCCUGGUGUAGCGGUGAAAUGCGCAGAUAGUCAGGAGGAACACCGGUGGCGAAGGCGGUU
rnacentral:rRNA from 1 species